CACAGACACAAACACAUUCACUGAUACAAAAGGACACAGAUACACACACACACACACACACACACACACACUGAUACAUACUAACAGACACACAUAUUGAUACGCAUAUAGGCAUAUAUACUGACACACAUACUGAGACAUACACACAUAUACAGACACACAGCCGUACAUAGUGACAGACACAUACUAACAUACAUACAGACACACAUGCAUAAGGACAUAC